AUUGAACGCUGGCGGCAGGCCUAACACAUGCAAGUCGAGCGGAUGACGGGAGCUUGCUCCUUGAUUCAGCGGCGGACGGGUGUGUAAUGCCUAGGAAUCUGCCUGGUAGUGGGGGACAACGUUUCGAAAGGAACGCUAAUACCGCAUACGUCCUACGGGAGAAAGCAGGGGACCUUCGGGCCUUGCGCUAUCAGAUGAGCCUAGGUCGGAUUAGCUAGUAGGUGAGGUAAUGGCUCACCUAGGCGACGAUCCGUAACUGGUCUGAGAGGAUGAUCAGUAACACUGGAACUGAGGAACGGUCCAGACUCCUACGGGAGGCAGCAGUGGGGAAUAUUGGACAAUGGGCGAAAGCCUGAUCCAGCCAUGCCGCGUGUGUGAAGAAGGUCUUCGGAUUGUAGAGCACUUUAAGUUGGGAGGAAGGGCAGUAAGUUAAUACCUUGCUGUUUUGACGUUACCGACAGAAUAAGCACCGGCUAACUCUGUGCCAGCAGCCGCCGUAACAC
rnacentral:rRNA from 1 species